AGACUGUGCGACGCGCAAUGGCGGCGCCAGGGAAAGGGCUUCUAGAAAGCCAGAGCCUCGCUCUCAUGGUGUCUAGUCACACGAGCCCGGGGACAAAGCUCACAGCUCCUGGACCUGUCAGCUCUCUUGCAAUGGAGUUUCCAAGGAAACGUAGAAGAAGUGAUUCAGAGCUGCUCCAGUCAGAAUUCAGGACAGAUGCAAUGGUGGAAAACCUUCCCCGGAGUCCCUUUACCUCUGUUCUUUCAACAAGAACAGGAGUAGCAGUGCCCAAUGGCAUCAGGAGAAAGCAAUGUCUCGGUAGUUAAGAGCGCUUGCUCUUGCAGAGGACCCGAGUCUGGAUUCCAGCACCCACAAACUUACAAAUGUCUGCAACUCCAGCUCCAAGGAACCUGCUACCCUCUUCUGGCAUCCAUGGACACCCCCUCAAACACGCACAGGCACAGGCACAAGCACAGGCAUACACACAUGCGUAUGCGCGCGCGCGCACACACACACACACACACACACACACACACGGAGAAAAAUAAUAAAAUCAAUCUUUUUU
rnacentral:lncRNA from 1 species